rnacentral:rRNA from 2 species
UCUGGUAUUGAUUGGUGCUUGCAUCAUGAUUUACAUUUGAGUGAGUGGCGAACUGGUGAGUAACACGUGGGAAACCUGCCCAGAAGCGGGGGAUAACACCUGGAAACAGAUGCUAAUACCGCAUAACAACUUGGACCGCAUGGUCCGAGUUUGAAAGAUGGCUUCGGCUAUCACUUUUGGAUGGUCCCGCGGCGUAUUAGCUAGAUGGUGGGGUAACGGCUCACCAUGGCAAUGAUACGUAGCCGACCUGAGAGGGUAAUCGGCCACAUUGGGACUGAGACACGGCCCAAACUCCUACGGGAGGCAGCAGUAGGGAAUCUUCCACAAUGGACGAAAGUCUGAUGGAGCAACGCCGCGUGAGUGAAGAAGGGUUUCGGCUCGUAAAACUCUGUUGUUAAAGAAGAACAUAUCUGAGAGUAACUGUUCAGGUAUUGACGGUAUUUAACCAGAAAGCCACGGCUAACUACGUGCCAGCAGCCGCGGUAAUACGUAGGUGGCAAGCGUUGUCCGGAUUUAUUGGGCGUAAAGCGAGCGCAGGCGGUUUUUUAAGUCUGAUGUGAAAGCCUUCGGCUCAACCGAAGAAGUGCAUCGGAAACUGGGAAACUUGAGUGCAGAAGAGGACAGUGGAACUCCAUGUGUAGCGGUGAAAUGCGUAGAUAUAUGGAAGGAACACCAGUGGCGAAGGCGGCUGUCUGGUCUGUAACUGACGCUGAGGCUCGAAAGUA